CCUGCAUCCUUACCCCUACAAAACAAUGCUUUAAAAAAAAAAUCCCCUACCGCCCUCUCCCCGGGCUCUGUCCUGGUGGCUGGUAUGGCGUAUAGGGCACCCGCUGCCCACUGAUGCACGGUCCCUUUCCACAGUACUGGAGCUGGGCUUGAGUCUGUGCCCGUGUAUUCCUACGACUUCUCAGAGUCCCAUGGGCAAUGACUGAGGAAACAAACCAUGUGGGAAACAGUC
ensembl:snoRNA Gm25483 predicted gene, 25483